GGGGUUCUUCUGGACGUUAUACAACGUUUUACAGGGGUUCUUCUGGACGUUAUACAACGUUUUACAGGGGUUCUUCUGGACGUUAUACAACGUUUUACAGGGGUUCUUCUGGACGUUAUACAACGUUUUACAGGGGUUCUUCUGGACGUUAUACAACGUUUUACAGGGGUUCUUCUGGACGUUAUACAACGUUUUACAGUGGUUAUUCUGGAUGUUAUACAACGUUUUACACUGUAAAAGGUGGUGGAGUGGGGAACCACUGACAUUGAACUACAGGUAUAGUGAACCUGUCCAUUUAACUUAGUUGUAAUUGUGUUGUAUGUGCAAUACCUGAAUUAUAGGUUUGUGUUUUUCCAUGUUAAAUCAUUACAGCCAAUGACCCUCUAAAAUGUCUCUGAUUCACUUUCAUCAGUUCUUUGUAUGAAUGACAUCCCAUGUAAAACUCAAACCUCAACUCGCAAUAUGUCACCUAAGAACACAUUGUAUCUUCACGUGACAUGAAUCAUUCAAAUGUAUAUUUUCAUACUUUUAAUUCAGGCAAAUCAGAGUAAUCAUGGUACUGUCAAGUGAAAAAGCUAGAGUCAACAUCAUCAGUGAAAAUGGACCAGUGCCAUAGGUUCAACAGCAGAGGAACCUGUGCACAUGCAUGUGGACAUUUCUCUACAUUCUGUAACUACCUGGCCUCACUACCCACUCGUGUACCCAACUUACUUUAGACUGAAUUCUCACAAGGUGUCUCUCUUUUCUUUCAGUUUAAAAUUAUACUAUUUAUCAUUUUUCUUACAGCCAAAAUAAAGUAUUUACUACAGAAGUCAGGAAUGGUGUGUGUGUGUGUGUGUGAUUAUCAUAAAACUGUUUAUCAUCACAGAAAGCAAUUGGAUAUUUUCAAAUUCAUUGAGAGAGAGAGAGCGAGAGAGGAGGGAGAGAGAGAGAGAGAGAGAGGAGGGAGAGGGAGAGAGGAGAGAGAGAGCGAGAGAGAAGGGAGAGAGAGAUAGAGAGAAUAGAAUGAAUAGAGAUUAUUAGACUGUUGUUUGCAUCUUGCCAAUAAUCAGGUGAACUGGCAGAGAAACAGACACCGCCCAUUGACUGUUUUUCCCUGAGAUAUGUAUGUGCUAAAAUAUAAACAUUGUUGUAGAUAUUAUACAAAAUAGGAUCAUUGUUAUUAUUGUACAAUCUGUGAUUUAAAAAAUGUUCAUGCAUUGGUCCGCAAACCCCCAAAAAGGUUGUGAAAUAACUUUUUUUGUGUACCUCCUAUGUAAGAUACAUUUAUGUACAACAGGAAACAGGAAACAAGAGGCAUUGAAGACUUCAAAGUUGCUUUCUAACUGUGGUAUUACGGUUUAAUUUGUAGGAUAUACUCCAAUCUGUUCUGUAUGAUCUAUGGUCUCUUUCUUUAGAGAGUUUUUGCAGGUUUAUGGA
ensembl:lncRNA